rnacentral:rRNA from 1 species
GACGAACGCUGGCGGCGUGCUUAACACAUGCAAGUCGAACGGAGUGGCGAACGGGUGAGUAAAACGUGGGUGACCUGCCCUGCACUUCGGGAUAAGCCUGGGAAACUGGGUCUAAUACCGGAUAGUGUGGGAUGGGCCCGCGGCCUAUCAGCUUGUGGGUGGGGUAAUGGCCUACCAAGGCGGCGACGGGUAGCCGGCCUGAGAGGGUGGACGGCCACAGUGGGACUGAGACACGGCCCAGACUGGUACGGGAGGCAGCAGGGGGAAAUAUGGCGCAAUGGGGGGAAGCCUGAGGAAGAGACGCCGGGUGGGUGAUGACGGCCUUCGGGUUGUAAACUCCUUUCACCAUCGACGCGGUAGAUGGAGAAGAAGCACCGGCUAACUACGUGCCAGCAGCCGCGGUAAUUC